GCCAGACUCCUACGGGAGGCAGCAGUGGGGGAUAUUGCACAAUGGGGGGAACCCUGAUGCAGCGACGCCGCGUGGGUGAAGGAGUAUUUCGGUAUGUAAAGCCCUAUCGGCAGGGAAGAAGCAAGACGGUACCUGACUAAGAAGCCCCGGCUAACUACGUGCCAGCAGCCGCGGUAAUACGUAGGGGGCAAGCGUUAUCCGGAUUUACUGGGUGUAAAGGGAGCGUAGACGGCAGUGCAAGUCUGGAGUGAAAGGCGGGGGCUCAACCCCCGGACUGCUCUGGAAACUGUACGGCUGGAGUGCAGGAGAGGUAAGUGGAAUUCCUAGUGUAGCGGUGAAAUGCGUAGAUAUUAGGAGGAACACCAGUGGCGAAGGCGGCUUACUGGACUGUAACUGACGUUGAGGCUCGAAAGCGUGGGGAGCAAACAGGAUUAGAUACCCGAGUAC
rnacentral:rRNA from 1 species